CCUACGGGAGGCAGCAGUGAGGAAUAUUGGUCAAUGGACGAAAGUCUGAACCAGCCAAGCCGCGUGAAGGACGAAGGUGCCAUGCAUUGUAAACUGCUUUUGUAAGGGGGCAAAAUCAGGCUCGAGAACCUGCCCGAGAGUACUGUACGAAAAAGCAUCGGCUAACUCCGUGCCAGCAGCCGCGGUAAUACGGAGGAUGCAAGCGUUAUCCGGAUUUAUUGGGUUUAAAGGGUGCGUAGGCGGGCUGGUAAGUUAGCGGUGAAAUCCCCGGGCUCAACUGCGGCGGGGCGGUUGAAACUGGCCGUCUUGAGAGGUGUAGAGGUAGGCGGAAUGUGAGGUGUAGCGGUGAAAUGCUUAGAUAUCGCGCAGAACACCGAUUGCGAAGGCAGCAUACCGG
rnacentral:rRNA from 1 species